CACUCACUCACACUAUCAUACAAACACACACACACUUGCUCACACACUCGCUCAUCCACACACACUAAAACACACUAACACACUCAUUCACACACAUCAUUAACAUACUCACUCGCAGACUAUCAUACACACACUAACAAACUCGCUCACACACUGUCACACACACAUUAACUAACACACUAGAGGUCCAGGGUUGGUCAGUAUCAUGUAUUCUGCUGAUAAUGGGGAUAUUUAGACCUCCUCCACAUGAACCUGAUUAUUUAUUAGACUAGACUCUGUAUUUAAACCCAGUUAGUAUCUGAACCUGACCAGGGCUUCAUUUAACUGUGUGAUAUUUUGUACCGUAUUGAGGUCAUGUGCUGCUCAGAAACACACACAACAUGCUGGACUGCCCAGUUCCUGUCCUCUGUACAGCUCAACCCACCCCCCACCACCCCCAUGACAGUGCUGUUUAUUUUCAGGUGAUUUCUCAUGUUAAUUUGCGUCGGUUAAUGUGUCCUUUUGGCAUUUUUACGUGUUAAUUGCAAAGGGAAGGAACUUUACACGACCGCUUCAUUGUAACCAACCUUCAGUGAUCAACAUAGCAGGUCUUUGAUUUCCUUGGUGAGGUGUUUCCCAGGACACCAGGAACAACACGGGUGAUAACUGGCCACAAGGGGAUAGUCCAGUCUGUACAUUACUAUUAGGAUAAAACUGCCAUGAGGAGCUUUGUUGUUGUUUUUCACAUUGCUUUACAGAUUCAACAAUUUAAGCAAGCUCUAGCAAAAGAGUAUAAAUUUAAGGUUUGAACAUUUGGUCAAAAGUUUGCAGACACCAUUCUAUAACUUUGUGCAUGCAAUUCUAUUGCAGACACUCGCUUCUAUAACUUCUAUAACCAUUCUUCUCUGAAGGUUCUGCACUAGAUGUUGUGGUGAUUCAUUCAGCUACAAGAGCAUUAGUGAGAUCAGACUCUGAUGCCGAGGAGCAUUAGUGAGAUCAGACUCUGAUGUUGGGAUGUUGAGGAGACUCCAGUUCCAGUUCAUCCCAGUGGGGUUUAGUCAGAGUCAGGGCUCUGUGCAGGACACUCUAGUUCUUCACUCCAACCUUCAUGUCCUCAUGAAGCUGCUUUGUCAUGCUGGAGCAGGGUUUGUAGCUGCACUGAACCCUACAGCAUACAGAGACGUUCUAUGCCACCGUGUGCUUAAAUAUUUAUUGCAACAGAAUCGCAUACUGUAUGUGUGUGAUGGUCAGGGUGCACAAACCUUUUUGUCCAUUCAUUAUAGUGGAUUGGAUUCCUUAUUUUAUACGCAAAGCACUGUCCACACGUGUCCUUCAAGAUUUCGUUCUGACCAACAGGUUGUGUCAGUGAUUGAUAUUAAUACUACUACUACUACUACUACUACUAAUAAUAAAUCUGUUUGAAUUGGGAGACCUUUAAGGAUUUAAGAAUCAGUACUAAUGCCUGUGUGUGAAUAUACACUGAUCAGGACUAACAUUCUGGGAAGUGCCAGGUGAAGCGAAUAACACUGAUGAUCUCCUCAUCAUGGCACCUGUUAGUGGGUGGGAUAUAUUAGGCAGCAAGUGAACAUUUUGUCCUCAAAGUUGAUGUGUUAGAAGCAGGAAAAAUGGACAAGUGUAAGGAUUUGAGCGAGUUUGACGAAGGGCCAAAUUGUGAUGGCUAGACCACUGGAUCAGAGCAUCUCCAAAACUGCAGCUCUUGUGGGGUGUUCCCAGUCUGCAGUGGUCAGUAUCUAUCAAAAGUGGUCCAUAGACGGAACAGUGGUGAACCGGUGACGGUCAUGGGCGGUCAAGGCUCAUUAAUGUACAUGGGGAGCAAAGGCUGGCCCGUGUGAUCCGAUCCAACAGACGAGCUACUGUUGCUCACAUUGCUGAAGAAGUUAAUGUUGGUUCUGAUAGAAAGGGUUCAGUAUACACAGUGCAGGACGGGUUGUUUUGGCAGCAAAAGAGGGACCAACACAAUAUUAUAUAGGCAGGUGGUCAUAAUGUUAUGCCAGUGUCUGCUGAUUUUGUGUCUUUUUUGCAUUAAACUUAUUGAAUUGGUGCAACCACAAUCACAUGAUUUUUUUUAUUCCUACCAGUAAAAAAAAAAAAAAAAAAAACAUUCGUCAUAUAAUGACUUUUUAUUAGCUGUGAUCAUGUUCGACGCACGUGCAUCACGGACGGUUCGGUCUGGAAGUGCGUGGUGAUGACGUCACACGACGCGCCUCGAACCCAGAUCUGCGGAAAAUCUGCUGUAAUUUGUUUGUUUUAUUUAAAAAAAAAAAAAAAGCCCCAAGCUCUUUUUAAAUAUCGCCGAGUUUGCUUGAUUGUGGGUUUAUUUCCUCGAUCGAAAAAAAUGACGGAAUCCCGGAAGAGGAACUGAUUAUUGAUUGCUUAAAAAAUAUUAUAAUUAUAUUGCAUUAACAGGCAAUAAAUAAGACUUGUUCUCUCUCUCUCUCUCUCUCUCGCAUAUAAUACACACACACACACACACACACACAUACACACACGCCUCUUUUGGGACUCGGCUAAUGAAUACAGCCUGCUCGGUCCGAUGCAGUGUCGUUGCCUAGCAACAGAAGAAAACAGGUUAGACUUUUCUGCGCUCUAACUUCAUUGUUUCACAAAGCUUUACAAACACAACCACAAUGUCGAAGCCAUCACUAAAGAAAAGAGACUCAACAUCCAGCCGUGACCUUUCAUCUAAAGAACAGUCACCUACUAAAGAGGUCUCCUCGCUGGUCUCUGGGGUUUCUGGGAGCUUCUCAGGAGAGCUUUGGAGGAGCUGUGUUCCCAUCUGGCCCGAAUGGAACGAGACCGAAGUCAGUGCCGAGAAAUGGGACGCUGCCAGAGGGGUAAAAGAGGGCAAGGCUAGGAAGAGCCCUCUGACUCAAUUCUUUGAAGACCCAGAAGGAAUGGUUAAGAUCCCAGCAUCUUUGAACGUUCACACCUGGAAACGGCCCUCAGAGCACAUCAUGAACAAGGCUCCGGUUGUGGUAGAAAAUGAAUCGACGUUUGAUCUCAUUUCCGCUAAUGAGCAUUUGCUGUCCAGUGAACUCAUGCGCCGGAUCAUCAGUGAGAUCUACAUUGUGUGGCAAGAGUUCAGCAGACAGACAGGAGAUGACAACCAGCUCUGGGAGGAAACCUGGAGACCCUGGGAUCACAUCUACUCCCUGUGUAAAGCAACCAAGGAUCAUGUGCCUCUUUACAACGUCUACGGGAAAUACGUGGUCCGGCUCUACUGGAUGGGCUGCUGGAGAAAGAUCAUUAUCGAUGAUUCCCUGCCAUUUAAUGAACAAAACAAUGUGCUGCUUCCUGCUACCACCGACCCAUCAGAGCUCUGGCCCAUGCUGCUGGCUAAAGCCAUACUGAAGCUAGCUGGUACAGAAGUGGUGCGAAAUUCCAGCAGAGAGCUGGAAGACUUCAGCAUCAUCCACUGUCUGACAGGAUGGAUCCCGGAGUUUGUCCCUCUUAGUCCCAGGUUGGAGCGUGUAGAAGAAACAUGGAAAUACCUGAAAAAAGCCAUUCCAACGUAUGAAAUAAUGGAGGAGAGAACUCCAUCAGUUGACCUCACUUCCAUUGGGGACUCAGCAAGCGAGACGCUGUCCACAAAUAACAGAAAACAGAAAGGCAGUGGACCUCCUCCUGCUCCUCAGAUAGUCAUUUGUGCCAGUUUCCAGCCAUUGAACCUGCAGGAGAAGAAGACCUCCAUGCUGGGCCAGAUGGCAGACGCAUCACAGACACUGCAACAAAACGGGCUCUGUCAGCUCUCCAGCCACUCCAUGCUGCUGACGCGUACCAGGCACUGCCCCCUGGUGGCUGAUUCAAACCCACCCCCUGUGCCUUGCUCCAAACUCCUCCAGACCCCUAAAGAAAUCACUAUUACAGACGAACCCAAAAAUGUCCAAGUCCAGAGGCCUGAGCUGUACAUAGGCGUGGCCAGUCCUUUCAUCAACAUCAAGCUUGGACCUUGUAAAAUCGAUUCAACUUCUUUUCUGGAGUCAGAAGAGAUUGAAGGUCAUGACCCCGCUCGCCAUCACAAUAACCGCAACUCGCCGGAUAGCAGGGUAACAGCAGAGGACGAGAGGAAAGCUGAAAGCGCCGUUAACGAUCGUGAUUCGGUUCCUCAAAAGGAAUCCACGUCUCUCCAGGAGAAGGACAUGCUUCAGGAAACGUGGAUCCCUGUGCAAGACUUCCCCAAGUGCUUCCAGACAUUGCUGGUUUUUCACAAGGAGAGCAGUUACCCGUACCAGUCUCAGAGAUCAGACUUUAAGACACCAGAUGUGAAGGACCGCUACUUCCUGUCUGUAGAUAGCCUCCUGCCUACAGAGAUUCUCAUCUGUUUCUCAGCACUGAUACGUUGGGGAGAUGGCAGUCAUGAGCAAAAGGACAGUGUCCCGAGGCCUGGUCAUCUAUGUGUUGAACCUUAUUCCUGGAAGAGCGUCCAGGCUCAGCUUCCUCUACUGACCAUCAACACCUCGUCCUGCAAAGCGGCCAUUCUUUCCCUGCCUCCAGGGCGUCAUGUUCUUCGCAUCCACACGCGAGUGCAGUUGGGCCUUCACCUGAAGCUCUACAGCAAGACAGAGUUCAUAUUCGGACAAGAAGAUAUGGUGAUGCCGCAUCUAGAAAAGGAGAGUCUGAGGUUCUGUGAGCAGGCUCAGUCCAUCCUCAGAGCUCUUGGUGGAACAAUCAGAUCCUUCUUGAACCCAGACCCAUCAGUCACCAGGGCACUGGAGGAGGCUGUCUGCCCACCGUCCCUCAGCAAGCUAGCAGUCAGAAGACACUGGAAGGACUUCAGUUAUGCAGUGUAUCUCAUGUUUUGCCAUGUGCUGGGCAGAAAGCUGACGUCUGAGGAGCUGUUUGCAGUUCAGAGCCUGACAAAAGAACUCACACCUCACUCCAGUGACAUAAAGGACACCACAGAUGGUGUUCCAGAGGGCUGGACUGGUAGGCAGGCCAUAGAAGAAGAAAAACAUGCAGCGACAGUUUUGCAGGAGAGCUGGGAGGACAACCUGUGGAGAAAAAUUCUCAGUGCUGCAAGACCAGGCUCUGUGGAGAAUCAGAAAGUUGCCAAGACUCUGUUGGAGAUGUGGGCUUCUGUGGAAUCGGACAUGGAGAAACAUGCGGUGUUUUUACUGAGGUUCAUGAUCACAAACAACGAGCACCUAGUGGACUUGUACCCGUGUGGUGGAGAUGAGUGGACUAAAAUUACCUUCACUGAUUAUACUGUCCCUGUCCAUGACACCACCAGUUCCUGGGUCCUGUUAUUUAGGGAGGUGUUCCAUGUUCCAAAAGCCAUAUUACUCGUGCCUAAGAUCUACUCUCCGUUUCCGUGUCGCCUUCACGUCAUCAACAACGACAGUGGGGAGGAAGUACCGAAAUUCUUUAACAGCGUACUGCCAUUUACGUACACACCAAAUAAGGCUGGCUACACUUUUGUGGCAUACACCGAAGGAACAACCGUAGUAGGAGGAACGUGGCAACUGCGUCUGAUCAGUUCCCGAGAACUUGCCCAGCUGGAAAGACCAGGACCGGUCAGCAACUUCAUAGUGAAGGAGUUCAAAGAUUACUACUUACCUAACAAGAAAAACAUUAUCUGCAGGCAUGUGGUGAACGUCUCGUGCAAUGACGUUUGUGUCACGGUGCAGUUCCAGGCUUCAAACCAGGAUGUCUAUGUUAAACUGAGCAUCCUGGACCAUGAGAGAAAGGUGACCAGCAAGAUUGGACAAGGACAUGUUGUUAUCCCUGUGUACUGCUUUUCACCUAGUGGAGGUUCCUGCGGCGGUGCCGUAGAGAAGGCGGGGGUGAGUCAGUCUCAGGACGGCCCUGGCGGGGGCCACGAUGGAGGCAGAGGAGCCUCUGAGUGUCAGGCUGCCCAAACGCAUCAUGAAUAUGUUGUUCAAGCAGAGGUGCUGUACAACAGCUGGCCUUUGGAUGACUCACUGUCAGGCUUCAUCCAAAUGCUACGAGAUAAAGAGAACGACGAGAUGCGAGUGUUCAGACACCUGAUCGAGGAAACACCUGGCAACUUGGACCAACCCCGCAGCGCAUCCCAGAAACUGACUGCAUCCAAAGCUGCCAAGACCAAAGAGAAGGACAAACCCGCAUCCAAGAGCUUGGAUGAUAGUAAGCCGCACUGGACAGUGCAUGUAGUCAGUGAGAAGGCGGACGUAGAACAGAUCGAGGUAAAAAAGGACACAGAGAGACUGGAGCAAAUUAAAGCUAUUAAACUGGCCUGGGAAGCUGCAGAGCCUGGCAGGGCAGCUAAGGCUUUUCGCACCCGUCAGCAGUACCUGAAAAAUCUCGGAGAAGAUCACACGUUGGACCUCACACCUUUUAUCAGGAGGACCGACAAACCCGAGCGUCUGAAGGAUGCAGUGAUGGAGGAGGAACAGCAGAGGGAGCGACUGGAGAAGAUCCAGAGCUUUCGGCUGUACCGAGAGACGGUGCUGGAACGCCGGCGGCAGGAACAAGAGCAGACCAAGCAGCUGAUGAACGAACAACAAGAACUGUUUAAAAGAAUUCAGGAGGAGAAAGCUGAGCUGCUCCGGAAUUUCCAACGGAAUCGAGAUGUUAUCCGAAUCUGGAAGCUAGAGGAACAGUCUCGAAAGAAAGAAGACUAGUCUCCGAAGAGAGAAGAACUUUAUGCUUAUUGAACCUAGAGCAGAUACCAAACACCACUAAAUGCUGCACAACAAAACAUCACGCAGAACUUCCUGACAUCCGUUUCCGUCUCUAGAUCCAUACAGAGCUGCUCGCAGACGUGAGAUCUACCACUGAGAUGUUCCUCUGUAGUGGGAGGAAGCUGUUCAUUUAUCACGGAGGACCUUGGACCUCUCUCAAAUCCAUUACAUCAGAAAACACCAUGCAACGUCUAACAGCCAUUCCGCAUGUAACCUCUUCCAAUGGUGCCACCUACUGGUGAAGAACUAAGAUCUCGCUUCUUGACCACAAACCCGUGAAGAAACGUCAUCUUUACUGAUUCAGAGUCUCAUUGUUCAGUAUUAAGGAAGUACGCUUCCAGGACUGAAAAGUGAAACACUCAUCAAUCCAAUGAAGACUUUUUUCCAUAUCAAAUUUUGUGAAUGCAAGGAAUAAGGGAGGAAGGUGAAGGAUUUCAAUUCUCAGAAGGUUUUUUGUUAGAGUCGACAAAGCUGAAGGACGGACAGUGCAAUGUGUUUAGAGCUGUCAUGUGAUUAAACACCUUAAAUUCAAUAAGUCUGAAAUCUGAACAAUGUAUAUUUGUGUUCUCUAUUGCUCAGAGGAUAAAAGAAUGGAGUUUUCUCCUGUUUUUCUUGUCUCCAUGUUGAGGAUUGAGUGUCUUUGUCAUGUUCCACUCCACAGUAGAGGUUAAUAUGAAGCUCAGAUGAAAGUAGACACUCAGGACUUUAAGAAUUUGUCGUGUUUUAGAAGGAUUUCUGUUUUUCCGUUGCCUACU